rnacentral:lncRNA from 1 species
UUAAUACGAUUUGAGCUCUUGUCUUUUCUACCUCAUAUCUUGAAAAUUUUUAAGGUGAAGUUGUUUUAACUAUCGUGUAUGCAAUAAAUCGUAUUACAACCACAUAAACAUACCAAAUCAGAACCACAUACCCAAAUUUGUUGUUUCGUUGGUUAUGGGAUUGAACAAAGGAGUUGUCAUUGUUGGGAUUCAAUUUCAAGUAGGUUACUUAUCUAGGUAUGCCACAUUUUGGGAGGAGAUAUUGCUUUCCUCUUUAUCGAAAUUUCAUUCCUCUUUUUCUAGUACUUCUCAGUUCUUUACUGACACAUCUAGUAAGUUAUUUUCCUAAUUUUGCUAAUAAUACUUCUGAUGAACUUACUCAUAUUCCCACCCUUGCUCUUACUGUCACGACCCGAAACUCCCAUCGAGCCUGUGACAACCGCCGUGACGUCCCGAUAGGCGCUCAUUACCUCGAAUGCCGAUCGAAACCUCGCAAGGCUUAGCAUCAGCUUCUGCAUCUCCCUAGUGAGUGACAGUUAUUAAAUCUCACAUUUUAAAAAAAAUCAUAAGUCAUUUCCAAAUCAAAACAAUAAAAUAUUACUUUUUGGCUCACAGGGGCAUUUUCAUCAUUUUUCUUCGAAAAUACCGAAACUCGCCAAAAACAUGGUGUAAAAGCAAAAUAUAUUCAUACAUAUUUUAAAUUAAAUAAUUUAAGAAUAAAAUUACUUUUACAGUGACACGUGGGCCCCCAACUGACUAAGAAAAUGUAGGGUUAUGAACCCUUACUUUCUAAGAUGCAACUCCGAGAUUAAUUCUCGUCUUAAUCAACUAUCAACAAAUUGUCCUGAGCUUGAAAAAUGUAUAGAAAGAAGGGGUGAGAUUAUAAAAUCCCAGUGAGUAGACAGACAUCAUCAAAAUAAUCUAAAGUCGAGUAAUAGGAGACAAUUAAAAUAAUUCAUCCCAACCCAUAUAAAUAAUUGGAUUUUAUCCAAUUACUCAACAUGGCUUAUGCACUUUUCAAAAACUUGGCCCUUGCCAAAAAUCCAUUCUUGGGGAUACCCCGCGAAGGCAUCUUACCGAGACCGCCAAGGCUGUUUAUUGUCACACACACAAACACAUUUCACCUUUGACAACACAGUCGUUCCUCGGCGUUGGCUGAGUCCCAGUUUCACGUGGUGGCCAGCAUGAAGUGUACUCAAAUCCUACCUCGGGAGUUAUCUUACGCGCCUCUCCAAUCGAGGUAAUCUCAAUAAUUAGGAAUCGUGCCCUUCUAAUUAGGUUGACCCACGGAACCCCCGUCACUACAAUGCCCACUUUAUAAUCUACCAACCAAUAAAAUCACAAUAGUAUGACAUGGCUCACUUAACACAUUCAAGGCAAAGCAAAGCAGUUCACAUAUUCUUUAAAUCAUAAAAAUAAGCAGUCAUAACUACAUUUAUCAUAAGCCAUUUAAUGAAAAUCAUGGAUAAACAACACAAUCAUAGUAUAGGUCUCCAAUUACUCUAUUUUUGAAAUCAUUAUUAAAUUUUCAAAAAUUUUAUAAAAUUAUUUUAUAAAAUCUCAUUUUCCCAUAAAACACAAUAAUUUUUCAAUUAAACCAUUUUUCCAUAAAAUCACACAAUUAAAUAAAUCUACUCUAGAUAAUUAAGACGAUAGUAAGUUUACUCACUGUUCUAGGAGUCGAUAUACUUCUAUUUUCAGUCCGCGGGUACAGUCCUUUACCCGUAUCUAAUGGCUCACCACCUAGCCAUAAUCCAUGGCACAUAUUUCAAUUAAAUUGUGUCUAACAGUCAUAAGCUAUUUCAGGCUCGAUAUAUAUGCAUGAUAUGAAAUGAAAAAUGCACAGGUAGCCAUCUAGACCCGGUAUUGACCUAAGUCGAUUUUUCAUCCAAUAAAUUGGCCAAUGCGUCCAAUUUCACUCCAACUUUCUCCAUUUCUUUUCCAAUCCCUCAAUUCACCAAGCACAACUAAUUAACACACAAUUAGGCAAAUUUAUCUUCACUUUUCUUCUUGGAACUUUCGGCCAUUGAAGGUUCAUGGGGAAAAUGGAUUCUUUUCUUGUUGUUUUGUUUCUAAACAUGUUUAACUAACUCUAAACACCAACAUAACUCAAAAUCAAACAAUUCCAACAUCUUUCUCUCUCCAUACCCAUUUUGACCAGCCAUAAUUUCAUCAUGAAAACAUGUAAUUUAACCAUGGAAAUUAAGAAAAAAUGCAUGGGUAAGGUAAAUCACUAGCAAAAUCAAAGAAAUUUUACCUUUGCUUGAUCAAAUCCUUGAAUUCCAACACUUUCUCUUUGAUUUUUCCCACCUAGGGUUUGUGCUUCCUUGGUUUCUCUUCUCUUCUAGUUUCGCUGAUCACUAUGG